rnacentral:rRNA from 1 species
UUGUUGGUAAGGUAAAAGCUUACCAAGGCUUCGAUCAGUAGCUGGUCUGAGAGGACGACCAGCCACACUGGGACUGAGACACGGCCCAGACUCCUACGGGAGGCAGCAGUGGGGAAUUUUGGACAAUGGGGGCAACCCUGAUCCAGCCAUGCCGCGUGAGUGAAGAAGGCCUUCGGGUUGUAAAGCUCUUUCAGCCGGAACGAAACGGUUACGGAUAACACCCGUGACUACUGACGGUACCGGAAGAAGAAGCACCGGCUAACUACGUGCCAGCAGCCGCGGUAAUACGUAGGGUGCGAGCGUUAAUCGGAGUUACUGGGCGUAAAGCGUGCGCAGGUGGUUUUGUAAGUCAGAUGUGAAAGCCCCGGGCUCAACCUGGGAACUGCGUUUGAAACUACAAGACUAGAGUGUGGCAGAGGGGGGUGGAAUUCCGCGUGUAGCAGUGAAAUGCGUAGAGAUGUGGAGGAACACCGAUGGCGAAGGCAGCCCCCUGGGUCAACACUGACGCUCAGGCACGAAAGCAUGGGGAGCAAACAGGAUUAGAUACCCUGGUAGUCCAUGCCCUAAACGAUGUCAACUAGUUGUCGGGCCUUUACGGGCUUGGUAACGUAGCUAACGCGUGAAGUUGACCGCCUGGGGAGUACGAUCGCAAGAUUAAAACUCAAAUGAAUUGACGGGGACCCGCACAAGCGGUGGAUUAUGUGGAUUAAUUCGAUGCAACGCGAAAAACCUUACCUACCCUUGACAUGUAUCGAAGCCCGCAGAAAAGCGGGGGUGCCCGAAAGGGAACGAUAACACAGGUGCUGCAUGGCUGUCGUCAGCUCGUGUCGUGAGAUGUUGGGUUAAGUCCCGCAACGAGCGCAACCCUUGUCAUUAAUUGCCAUCAUUUAGUUGGGCACUUUAAUGAGACUGCCGG